rnacentral:misc_RNA from 1 species
UGAAUUUUGAUGAUGCUUUAAAUCUUCCAUUGCAACUCCCCUCCAUCUCUUCUCUCCAUGAAGAUUUUUAGGUAUGUUUAUUGUUGUGAUUUGUGCACCGUUUCAAUCUGAGUUGAGUUGCUGCAAAGGUCUUAGCUGAUCUGUGCCAAACAUGUCCACUAUGGAAAAUCGUGGUGAUUUUGUACAACGGAUUGGAGCCGACAUGUCAAUUGAGGUCUUCUUGCAUUUGGACGACCCUUCUGAUCUUGCCCGUGUUUGUUCUGUUUCCAGUUCUUGGCGCUAUUUUGUGAUUGCAAAUGGCCUUUUUAAGAAGCUUUGCUUGAAAUUGUUGCCUGAAAUGUAUAGUGUUGCUCAUUUCAUUGAAGUAAACAAUAUGAUUGAACCUGUAAGAGUUGGACAGAGUGAUUGCAUGGAAUGGGAG